UAUAAUACAAAAAAACCAAACCACACAUGUUACGACCACAACAACAACAACAACAACAAAAGUCCAAGAUCUAAGCUAGUUUAUGUUUUUUGUUACCUCCAACUCGAAUUCGACACAGGGAAUCCACUUGUUGCGGAGAAGGUAGUCAACUUCCUUUCCCAACUCGACCUCGGAAAGGUCAGGAAGGUAAGAGAGAGUCUCGAACUUCUUCUUUCCGAUCGGAGGCCACACCUUUGAGAUUCAGACAAAACAACAUAUGAGUUCAUGUAAUUCGAAUGAAAAAAAGUUCUUUGAAAGAAGAAGAAAGAAGAAGAAGAAAAAAGAUGUAUGACCUUCAUGCAGCUAACUCUUCCGCCGUUGCUUGUGAUGGAAGUAAUGUCGUUGUUGGCCUUGCGGGUGGAAGGGAAAGCAGCGGAGGACUUAAGUCCGGUGAAAGGAGCGACCAUAGUGGCCUGAGCCGGGGAGGCAACCAUAGUAGCGGAAGAGAGCAUAGAGGAAGCCAUUGUGUUCUUUCUCUUUUACUCUUUUGUGUGACUGAGGUUCUGUCUAGUGCUUUGGUCAUCUAUAUAUAAUGAUAAUAACAAUGAUAACAAUCACUUGAGUGAUCGUAGGGUCGAGGAAUCAUGAGGCUUGAGUGGGAAAGGAUUUAGACCGUUGGAUGAUGAGUGUGUGGAUAUGUGUGUGUGUGUGAGGUUUUAAGUCACUUGGUAACGGCCACAGAAGCCUAAGGUAAGGUCCUGAGAGACCCUUAUCGGUUUGUAACGCUAGAACAGUG
rnacentral:lncRNA from 1 species